UACAGAGGGUGCGAGCGUUAUUCGGAAUUACUGGGCGUAAAGGGUGCGUAGGCGGUUAUUUAAGUUAGGUGUGAAAUUCCUGGGCUCAACUUGGGGACUGCGCCUGAUACUGUUUGACUAGAGUACUGUAGAGGGAAGUGGAAUUUCCGGUGUAGCGGUGAAAUGCGUAGAUAUCGGAAAGAACAUCAGUGGCGAAGGCGAUUUUCUGGACAGAUACUGACACUGAGGCACGAAAGCGUGGGGAUCAAACAGG
rnacentral:rRNA from 1 species